CGUAAAUAAAAUUUAAACUAAAAUAAAAUGACUUACCAGAAAAAGAAUCCAAAAUUGUUGAUAAAAAAUUAUAUCAGUUUUUUUUUUUCUUCUUCUUUUUAAUGAGAAACUAAAAUUUCGAUGAAAAACAAAUGAAGAUGGCAUUUGGGUCUUUUGGUUUACAUAGAGGGGAGUGUUGGGUUUUGGCGGGAAGAGUCAAUGGGUGUUUGUGGUGGUUGGGAGGUGCGCCCGUGUUGGGGUCUGAAACCGCCAUAUUACUAGGCGGCUGCAGCAGUAGAAGAAGGGGUUUUGGCAGGAAGUGUCGGUGGGUGUUCGUGUUGGUUGGGAGGUGCGCCCGUGUCUUGGUCUGAAACAGCCACUUGACACGGCGGUUUCAGCGGUUUUGGGGGGAAGAGUCGGUGGCGAGGUGAGCCCGUGUCAGGGCCCGAAACAGCCAGCUGGGACAAUCCCUUUCAGUCGCAUAAUUCUUCUCUUAUCAGGCAAAUUGAACGCUGUCGUUUAGUCUUCUUCUCUUGGCUUUCACUUUCAGGCACUUACUGGCAAAUUGCUUAGAAUUUGGAUUUAAUUUCGAAAUUUAUGAAACGCCUUUCCUUUUGCCGGCUUAAAUAUGAGUUGUAUCCGAAGCUGAAGCAAUGUUGGGUAUCAGGCUAUUAGCCAUCUUUUUAAUAGGAAUUUUCUCCUCCAUACGGUUGAACAUUUGGGGUUCUCUUGAUGUGAAGUGUUUCUUUUGCUUGUUAUUUAUGAGAAUGUACUAAAAAAAAUAUCCAUGUUAUUGGUGUG